rnacentral:rRNA from 1 species
CCAGACUCCUACGGGAGGCAGCAGUGGGGAAUAUUGCACAAUGGGGGAAACCCUGAUGCAGCGACGCCGCGUGAGUGAAGAAGUAUUUCGGUAUGUAAAGCUCUAUCAGCAGGGAAGAUAAUGACAGUACCUGACUAAGAAGCCCCGGCUAACUACGUGCCAGCAGCCGCGGUAAUACGUAGGGGGCAAGCGUUAUCCGGAUUUACUGGGUGUAAAGGGUGCGUAGGUGGCAGGGCAAGUCAGAUGUGAAAGCCCGGGGCUCAACCCCGGUACUGCAUUUGAAACUGUCCAGCUGGAGUGCAGGAGAGGUAAGCGGAAUUCCUAGUGUAGCGGUGAAAUGCGUAGAUAUUAGGAGGAACACCAGUGGCGAAGGCGGCAUACUGGACUGUAACUGACACUGAGGCACGAAAGCGUGGGGAGCAAACAGGAUUAGAUACCCGCGUAC